GUGCUCACUUCGGCAGCACAGAGACUAAGAUUGGAACGAUACAGAGGAUUAGCAUGGCCCCUGCGCAAGGAUGACAUGCAAAUUUGUGAAGCAUUCCAUAUAUUU